CACAGAAAGACAAACUCAGAUAUUUCUUGUUCAAAAUCUAGAUUAAAAAAUCUAUACUUAUUCAUAAACAUAUACACAUAUGUGGGCACACGAGACAUAAAAAACAAGGGUGAAUGGAACAAGGACAUGACAGCUUCACGGUAUGGGGUUGAAGAGAGAAGGUUUUUAUUGUAAAUACGAGGAAGAGCACAGCCAGAAGCAUCUGGAAGAGUCCAGGUCAAUGGGAAAAAUGGAAGACUAAACAUGGCCAGUAGACUGAACUGGAUGGGAACAGUUGGGAGUUCCUGGAGACUUGUUCCUUUUCAUUCUGAGACCUUGAACUGUGGAGCUAAUGGCUUCGUUCUCAGGGGAGUGUUGAAGAAUCCUUCCAUGAGAAACUUUAACCCUCAGGACCCAAAUUAAGGUGGCUGCUUUACCUUGUCCCUUAACCUUUGAUGCACCAGUUGCACGUGGAAGUUGACAGAUGCGUGGGGGAGCAGAUGGAAGUGCAGAAAAGGCCAAGCAAACCUUCAGUCUGAACCUGGCCCCCUGGAAUGUUGGCCUUGGAUCCUUAAGUACAUCAGAUUGCCUCUUGCCAUUCAACUGCCCAAGGCUUCCCAGGUGCUAAAAGGUUCCCCUGCCUCCUUGAAGGCCACAUAGGAAGC